rnacentral:rRNA from 1 species
AUCACUCGGCUCGUGCGUCGAUGAAGACCGCAGCAAAAUGCGUGUCAGCAUGUGAAUCGCAAGAUUAUGAGAUGCAUCGACCAGUUGAACGCACAUUGCGGCGACGGCACUGCCCAGUGUUGUCGCCACUCCCGGACGAGUGUCUGCAAAGAAAUGAAGCAUCCAUCUGUGUUUUUGUCAUGCUCUGCCAUCUAGGCCAAGUAUGAGAGAGAGAGUCGGUUGGUCUUGACGGGGAGUUUUUGACAGAGCGCAGCGAGUUGGGGAGUUCGGUUGCUGCGACCGUUCCCUUAAGUUUGAGUUUGAUCUUGUGGUUUUGUUGGCCAGAGAGAGAGACAAGUAUGCCAAGAGAAUGACAAUGAUCUUGUUCCUGCCUGGAGAGAGAGUGUUUGGCAGAGUGCUGACCUAGCCCGAAAGCAGACCAUGGCACCAGCACCAGCGGAGGCACCGCGCACGCACGCACGCAGGCGCCGUUGAGAGAGACGGCCGGAGAGAGAGAGAGAGAGAGAGAGAAAACAUGUGCCUGCCAAUGAAUCAAUCCAGCCGCCGGUGAGAAUGUGGGCGGCUGGAUUUUUUAUUUUUUGUGUCGGUGCCGGCCGGUGGUGUCUUUUGGUGUUUAGCGGCGCGGGGAAGGUUGGGUUGGCUGUUAGGACCUCGUCCGUGGGGAGACUACCCGCCAAAUUUAAGCAUAUUAAUAAGCGGAGGAAAAGAAACCAACCGGGAUUCCCUGAGUAAGGGCGACUGAAAGGGGAUGAGCCCAGCGCAUAACCUUGCGGUCUUGUUGUGGCCGUCGAGGGGUGUUGCGUUUUGGUGGAUCCGUACCGCUCGAGUUGCUGACCGCCUAAGUCAUUGCUUGAAUGCAGCCCCGAGGAGGGUGGUAGGCCCGUGUGGCGGCGCCUGUAAAAAGGUUGGAGGCAAUUCGGGCGGAGGGGUCUUUACCGUAGAGUCGGGUUGCUUAGUACUGCAGCCCUAAGUAGGUGGUAAACUCCAUCUAAGGCUAAAUACUACCACGAGACCGAUAGCGAA